rnacentral:rRNA from 1 species
AACGAACGCUGGCGGCAUGCCUAACACAUGCAAGUCGAACGAGACCUUCGGGUCUAGUGGCGCACGGGUGCGUAACGCGUGGGAACCUGCCCUUAGGUUCGGAAUAACUCCCCGAAAGGGGUGCUAAUACCGGAUAAUCUCUUCGGACCAAAGAUUUAUCGCCUUUGGAUGGGCCCGCGUUGGAUUAGCGAGUUGGUAGGGUAAAAGCCUACCAAGGCGACGAUCCAUAGCUGGUCUGAGAGGAGGAUCAGCCACACUGGGACUGAGACACGGCCCAGACUCCUACGGGAGGCAGCAGUGGGGAAUAUUGGACAAUGGGCGAAAGCCUGAUCCAGCAAUGCCGCGUGAGUGAUGAAGGCCUUAGGGUUGUAAAGCUCUUUUACCCGGGAUGAUAAUGACAGUACCGGGAGAAUAAGCACCGGCUAACUCCGUG